CUUGUUUGUCUGUGUGUGUUAUCAAGAUGGUGACACGUCUUUUACUUGCAUUUCAGAAAUCACGAGUGUUUGGGACAGAGUGUCUCAAUUUGUUUUACGGAACCUCUCCAUGAACAAGUGUCAAUAUACCUGGACUGGGAAUAUUCUCAUUUGUCUGAACAAAGAUAGGUCUUGGUGGCAACAAAUUUACUGUGACACAGAGACCCAUGUUUCUCCUGUCUGAGAAACUGUCCCAGAGCUACUGAAACAACCAAAAAUACACACUCCAGAGGCCCAAGACAGAAGAUUUAGUAAUUUCUCAGAGACCCAUUUCUGAUUCCCACGUAACCAGAUCUCUGAAGUUUCCAAGUUGCACCUACAACGCCCAACCAUGGUGAGAACUACAUGACACUUCAUGUACUCUUGGGGAGAGGCAAGCCCUGCUCUGAAGAGAUCAGUUUGAAUGCACAUGAUAAAGGUUUGGGGAUGGGAAGGCUUCCUCUUCUUCAUUUUCUGUAAUAAAGACUCUUCA